rnacentral:rRNA from 1 species
GCUUGCACUAACGAAACUAGAUACAAGCGAGCGGCGGACGGGUGAGUAACACGCGGGUAACCUGCCCAAGAGACUGGGAUAACACCCGGAAACAGAUGCUAAUACCGGAUAACAACACUAGACGCAUGUCUAGAGUUUGAAAGAUGGUUCUGCUAUCACUCUUGGAUGGACCUGCGGUGCAUUAGCUAGUUGGUAAGGUAACGGCUUACCAAGGCAAUGAUGCAUAGCCGAGUUGAGAGACUGAUCGGCCACAUUGGGAUUGAGACACGGCCCAAACUCCUACGGGAGGCAGCAGUAGGGAAUCUUCCACAAUGGACGAAAGUCUGAUGGAGCAACGCCGCGUGAGUGAAGAAGGGUUUCGGCUCGUAAAACUCUGUUGGUAGUGAAGAAAGAUAGAGGUAGUAACUGGCCUUUAUUUGACGGUAAUUACUUAGAAAGUCACGGCUAACUACGUGC